rnacentral:rRNA from 1 species
GAUGAACGCUAGCUACAGGCUUAACACAUGCAAGUCGAGGGGUAACGAGAGGAAAGCUUGCUUUCCUUGUUGACGACCGGCGCACGGGUGAGUAACGCGUAUCCAACCUGCCCCCAACUAGGGAAUAACCUUGCGAAAGUAAGACUAAUACCCUAUAAUUUCCUCAGAUGUCAUCUGACGAGGAAUAAAGAUUUAUCGGUUGUGGAUGGGGAUGCGUCUGAUUAGCUUGUUGGCGGGGUAACGGCCCACCAAGGCAACGAUCAGUAGGGGGUCUGAGAGGAAGGUCCCCCACAUUGGAACUGAGACACGGUCCAAACUCCUACGGGAGGCAGCAGUGAGGAAUAUUGGUCAAUGGGCGGAAGCCUGAACCAGCCAAGUAGCGUGCAGGAUGACGGCCCUAUGGGUUGUAAACUGCUUUUAUACAGGAAUAAAGUUAGCCACGUGUGGUUAUUUGUAGGUACUGUAUGAAUAAGGACCGGCUAAUUCCGUGCCAGCCGCCGCUGUAA